rnacentral:lncRNA from 1 species
GAGUGACUCAUUACCAGGGCGGUCAUUAUGCUCCCUCCAGACAGAUUUUCUUCUAUAUCAAUUUAAGACUCCUUUAAUUACAACAAGGAACCCUUUAAAUUUCAUCUGUAUUGUAGGGGGCAUUCUACAUUCCAGUCUGAAUUCCACUCAGUAGCAUUAAAUUAUUCCAAUUUACAUAAAACUGACCUUGCCAAACCAAUACUAAUAUUAAAGGGGGGGGAAAAAAGCUCAGAGUACAAAGUCAAGUAAGUCAAGCACUUAGAAAUCCCAAGAUCAAAGUCACCUAUGAAACUUUAAAUCACCUCUUUCCUAUUUCCAGAUAAGCUUUGCUUUGCUCAGCAUACAGAGUUCCUACUGAAUCAGUACUUGGGUGGAAGCACUAACUGUAGAGGAGAGGUGAACUGACUGCUGUGAGAAGGUUCUUGACAGGAGAAUUUGUCUUCUCCAAGCAACAACUGCACGGAAGAACACACCGAGUUCUGGCUGUGCUGGGAUUGCUCGAGUGUGGGCACGAGGCUCUGCAGGCCACGUCCACUCAGACUGAAGGAGCUGUGAGGGUACAGAUUAAUAUUAUUCAUUUCCAAAACACAAGAUCAUGAUGGGAAACAUCAGUCCCUGUGGAAAAGCAGACUAAGAUCCUAGCUGGUAUGAUUACACUGCAGCUGAUGUAACAUGUGAGACUUCCUAACUAAGCUUCUUAAUCGUUCCUAGAGGUUUAUUAAAUCUUGUAAUUUUGUAUUUUUGUGAGGGUGUCUGAAAAGGAGGUGCUGGCAAUGCAAAAUAA